rnacentral:tRNA from 1 species
GGGAAGGUGGCUCAGUGGUAGAGUGCUUGCCUUGCAUGCAUGAGGCCUUGGGUUUGAUUCCUCACCACCACA